rnacentral:rRNA from 1 species
AGUGAACGCUGGCGGUAGGCCUAACACAUGCAAGUCGAACGGCAGCACAGUAAGAGCUUGCUCUUACGGGUGGCGAGUGGCGGACGGGUGAGGAAUACAUCGGAAUCUACUUUUUCGUGGGGGAUAACGUAGGGAAACUUACGCUAAUACCGCAUACGACCUACGGGUGAAAGCAGGGGAUCUUCGCACCUUGCGCGAUUGAAUGAGCCGAUGUCGGAUUAGCUAGUUGGCGGGGUAAAGGCCCACCAAGGCGACGAUCCGUAGCUGGUCUGAGAGGAUGAUCAGCCACACUGGAACUGAGACACGGUCCAGACUCCUACGGGAGGCAGCAGUGGGGAAUAUUGGACAAUGGGCGCAAGCCUGAUCCAGCCAUACCGCGUGAGUGAAGAAGGCCUUCGGGUUGUAAAGCCCUUUUGUUGGGAAAGAAAAGCAGCAGGUUAAUACCCCGCUGUUCUGACGGUACCCAAAGAAUAAGCACCGGCUAACUUCGUG